rnacentral:rRNA from 1 species
UACGAAGGGGGGCUAGCGUUUGUUCGGGAAUUACUGGGCGUAAAGCGCACGUAGGCGGAUGUUUAAGUUAGGGGUGAAAUCCCAGGGCUCAACCCUGGAACUGCCUCUAAUACUGGGCAUCUAGAGUCCGAGAGAGGUGAGUGGAAUUCCGAGUGUAGAGGUGAAAUUCGUAGAUAUUCGGAGGAACACCAGUGGCGAAGGCGGCUCACUGGUCCAUUACUGACGCUGAGGUGCGAAAAGCGUGGGGAGCAAACAGG